GGAGGUGGAGGGUGAGUUGAAGAAGAGGGAGAGCGAGCUGGAGAAGGAGGCCGAGAAAGCGGCACAGAAAGAAGAUAAAGAGGAUAAGAUGUUGGAAACUGAGCUGACUAAUGAGGUGGACAAGGAAACACAGGAAGAGGCCAACGAACAGAAAGAGGAGAACAAAGUCUUGGAACAACUUGAUUCAACAUCGCCUCUUCCAUGAACAAACCAGUUUAUAACAUAAGCUGUACGAUAUCGACGGUGCUGAACUGAAAAACCAUCUAACGGAAAUUGUGUUAGAAACCCAGCACAACUUACAUCGGGACGCCAACGAGUUUAUAUGUAAAGAAACUUCAUCUGUGAUGAAGAAAUACUUUAUAUCACUGCAAAUAAAAACUGUUACUAACUAUUUAA